rnacentral:rRNA from 1 species
AGUGAACGCUGGCGGUAGGCCUAACACAUGCAAGUCGAACGGCAGCACAGUAAGAGCUUGCUCUUACGGGUGGCGAGUGGCGGACGGGUGAGGAAUACAUCGGAAUCUACUUUUUCGUGGGGGAUAACGUAGGGAAACUUACGCUAAUACCGCAUACGACCUACGGGUGGAAGCAGGGGAUCUUCGGACCUUGCGCGAUUGAAUGAGCCGAUGUCGGAUUAGCUAGUUGGCGGGGUAAAGGCCCACCAAGGCGACGAUCCGUAGCUGGUCUGAGAGGAUGAUCAGCCAAACUGGAACUGAGACACGGUCCAGACUCCUACGGGAGGCAGCAGUGGGGAAUAUUGGACAAGGGGCGCAAGCCUGAUCCAGCCAUACCGCGUGGGUGAAGAAGGCCUUCGGGUUGUAAAGCCCUUUUGUUGGGAAAGAAAAGCAGCAGGUUAAUACCCCGCUGUUCUGACGGUACCCAAAGAAUAAGCACCGGCUAACUUCGU